ensembl:lncRNA
ACAAAACAGAUAUUUGCUGACGGGAUCUGGCAUCCGGGCCUGGAUCUGAUCAUUCUGGUGUGGAGGUAUGAUCUAACACAAUCCUACUUGAGGAUGUGAAGAUGAAGAGAACACAAGUCAGAGAAAAGAAGAUAAAUGAAGAAGAAGAGAAAAGGUGGGACAAAGCAGAGCCUUUUGAAGAAAUAAAAGCAGAUACUGAGUUACCGGAGGAGUACUAUCAUGGGCUUGAGGAUUUACCCUGGAACCUGAACUUACUGGAGCAUUUACUGUAUAUCAGCAUGCCAGCUUGGAUACAAAGAGCUCUGCUUUGUAACUUAAUUGAGCGGUUUGGCAUCUGGACCUUUCACAACAACAUCCUGCCGUGUCGUCUCAUUUCCUACACCCUACUGCCGUACACUCUGCCUGCUUCAGCUGUCAUCUCAUUCAUCUAUAGGUUUUUAUGCUGGGUGGAGAAAAUUCCCCACCAGGCUCUGAAUGCAGGCAGGGAAUUCAAACAGGAAGUGAUGGCACAUCUGUGGUUAGUCUUUACACACUUGAGAGGACUUUUGCCAAACAGAUUCCUGCUUUUGCAAAUUCCAACUUUGCACCCCACUCUUGCUCUGUUUCUUCCACCCUGGUCCUGUUUCCCAUCUCUUUCUUUUACAUUCCUUCCUUGGUCCUCUUUCCCUUUACCUUCUCUUGCUUUGCAUUUUCUGCCACGGUGUCUAUCCACUUCAACCUCAAAGAAGCAGCUGGAGCUCAGGAGCCAGACUCAGCCUCUCUGGUCUAGACAACGAUCUCUCCUCUGCUUCCAGCUCACCGGAUCUGGCGGUUUCUCCAAAAAGACAGCUGACAUCCUUACAGAUGCAGAGCCACUAUCUUCAGCCUUCCUCCUGCAGCUCAACUUAAAGUUAGAAAUGGGCAGCCAUCCUGAACCACUACAGCUUCAGAAGGACCGACUUGAUUGUGAGGGAAGUUUAUUACUGAACACAGAAGUAGAUGACAAUCUCUCUUCUCCUUUUAUUUCUGACAUGGAUGUACAAGAGGAAGACUGA